rnacentral:rRNA from 1 species
AGAUUGAACGCUGGCGGCAGGCCUAACACAUGCAAGUCGAGCGGUAGAGAGGUGCUUGCACCUCUUGAGAGCGGCGGACGGGUGAGUAAUGCCUAGGAAUCUGCCUAGUGGUGGGGGAUAACGUUCGGAAACGGACGCUAAUACCGCAUACGUCCUACGGGAGAAAGCGGGGGACCUUCGGGCCUCGCGCCAUUAGAUGAGCCUAGGUCGGAUUAGCUAGUUGGUGAGGUAAUGGCUCACCAAGGCGACGAUCCGUAACUGGUCUGAGAGGAUGAUCAGUCACACUGGAACUGAGACACGGUCCAGACUCUACGGGAGCAGCAGUGGGGAAUA